AAGAAGGUUUUUGGAUCGUAAAACUCUGUUGUUGGAGAAGAAGUAUCUGAUAGUAACUGAUCAGGUAGUGACGGUAUCCAACCAGAAAGCCACGGCUAACUAAGUGCCAGCAGCCGCGGUAAUACGUAGGUGGCAAGCGUUGUCCGGAUUUAUUGGGCGUAAAGCGAGCGCAGGCGGUUUCUUAAGUCUGAUGUGAAAGCCUUCGGCUCAACCGAAGAAGUGCAUCGGAAACUGGGAAACUUGAGUGCAGAAGAGGACAGUGGAACUCCAUGUGUAGCGGUGAAAUGCGUAGAUAUAUGGAAGAACACCAGUGGCGAAGGCGGCUGUCUGGUCUGUAACUGACGCUGAGGCUCGAAAGCAUGGGUAGCAAACAGGAUUAGAUACCCUGGUAGUCCAUGCCGUAAACGAUGAGUGCUAGGUGUUGGAGGGUUUCCGCCCUUCAGUGCCGCAGCUAACGCAUUAAGCACUCCGCCUGGGGAGUACGACCGCAAGGUUGAAACUCAAAGGAAUUGACGGGGGCCCGCACAAGCGGUGGAGCAUGUGGUUUAAUUCGAAGCAACGCGAAGAACCUUACCAGGUCUUGACAUCCUUUGACCACUCUAGAGAUAGAGCUUUCCCUUCGGGGACAAAGUGACAGGUGGUGCAUGGUUGUCGUCAGCUCGUGUCGUGAGAUGUUGGGUUAAGUCCCGCAACGAGCGCAACCCUUAUUACUAGUUGCCAGCAUUUAGUUGGGCACUCUAGUGAGACUGCCGGUGACAAACCGGAGGAAGGUGGGGACGACGUCAAAUCAUCAUGCCCCUUAUGACCUGGGCUACACACGUGCUACAAUGGAUGGUACAACGAGUUGCGAGACCGCGAGGUUUAGCUAAUCUCUUAAAACCAUUCUCAGUUCGGAUUGUAGGCUGCAACUCGCCUACAUGAAGCCGGAAUCGCUAGUAAUCGCGGAUCAGCAUGCCGCGGUGAAUACGUUCCCGGGCCUUGUACACACCGCCCGUCACACCAUGAGAGUUUGUAACACCCAAAGCCGGUGAGGUAACCCUUCGGGGAGCCAGCCGUCUAAG
rnacentral:rRNA from 1 species